rnacentral:rRNA from 1 species
GUCGAACGCUUCUUUCCUCCCGAGUGCUUGCACUCAAUUGGAAAGAGGAGUGGCGGACGGGUGAGUAACACGUGGGUAACCUACCCAUCAGAGGGGGAUAACACUUGGAAACAGGUGCUAAUACCGCAUAACAGUUUAUGCCGCAUGGCAUAAGAGUGAAAGGCGCUUUCGGGUGUCGCUGAUGGAUGGACCCGCGGUGCAUUAGCUAGUUGGUGAGGUAACGGCUCACCAAGGCCACGAUGCAUAGCCGACCUGAGAGGGUGAUCGGCCACACUGGGACUGAGACACGGCCCAGACUCCUACGGGAGGCAGCAGUAGGGAAUCUUCGGCAAUGGACGAAAGUCUGACCGAGCAACGCCGCGUGAGUGAAGAAGGUUUUCGGAUCGUAAAACUCUGUUGUUAGAGAAGAACAAGGACGUUAGUAACUGAACGUCCCCUGACGGUAUCUAACCAGAAAGCCACGGCUAACUACGUGCCAGCAGCCGCGGUAAUACGUAGGUGGCAAGCGUUGUCCGGAUUUAUUGGGCGUAAAGCGAGCGCAGGCGGUUUCUUAAGUCUGAUGUGAAAGCCCCCGGCUCAACCGGGGAGGGUCAUUGGAAACUGGGAGACUUGAGUGCAGAA